UAACCUUUCCAAUUAUUGUAAUACACGCUCAGUACGUACAGGUUUUGCUAGACCCCACCUAAAGCGAUUGAUGUGAAAUAUUUCUGAACUGCAGUUAACAUGGUUAUGUGUUUCGUUCCUGGUUGUGAACACUACAGUGAACAAAGGAUUUGUAAAUUUUUUGGGUUUCCUGCAGACCCAGCUGAGAGAAAAAAGUGGAUUGAUCUCAUAAGGAGACAAGAUCGAGAGCCAUCAAACCAUUCAUUAGUUUGCAGUUGUCACUUUGUUAACAUGGAUAAAAAAAUAGACUGACUUCAUUUGAAUUCAAUGUGGAGAGAAAGUUCGACUUUAAAUCUCCAGAAAAACGGAAUGUUCACAUGAAUGAGAAAAGAUAUUACUAUUCUUGGAUUCAAUAACUUUGUUUUCAGUAAACGAACCGUCAAGGCAAGAGAGGUUGGGGUGGAAGCAACCAAUAUAAGUUCAGAAGUAGCAGGGCCUUCAAAAAUGUCUGAAACGGAGACUCUUGCCAUUCUGAAUCUGUAAAUGGUAUCAUU